rnacentral:rRNA from 1 species
AGAGUUUGAUCAUGGCUCAGAUUGAACGCUGGCGGCAGGCCUAACACAUGCAAGUCGAACGGUAACAGGAAGCAGCUUGCUGCUUUGCUGACGAGUGGCGGACGGGUGAGUAAUGUCUGGGAAACUGCCUGAUGGAGGGGGAUAACUACUGGAAACGGUAGCUAAUACCGCAUAACGUCGCAAGACCAAAGAGGGGGACCUUCGGGCCUCUUGCCAUCGGAUGUGCCCAGAUGGGAUUAGCUUGUUGGUGGGGUAACGGCUCACCAAGGCGACGAUCCCUAGCUGGUCUGAGAGGAUGACCAGCCACACUGGAACUGAGACACGGUCCAGACUCCUACGGGAGGCAGCAGUGGGGAAUAUUGCACAAUGGGCGCAAGCCUGAUGCAGCCAUGCCGCGUGUAUGAAGAAGGCCUUCGGGUUGUAAAGUACUUUCAGCGGGGAGGAAGGGAGUAAAGUUAAUACCUUUGCUCAUUGACGUUACCCGCAGAAGAAGCACCGGCUAACUCCGUGCCAGCAGCCGCGGUAAUACGGAGGGUGCAAGCGUUAAUCGGAAUUACUGGGCGUAAAGCGCACGCAGGCGGUUUGUUAAGUCAGAUGUGAAAUCCCCGGGCUCAACCUGGGAACUGCAUCUGAUACUGGCAAGCUUGAGUCUCGUAGAGGGGGGUAGAAUUCCAGGUGUAGCGGUGAAAUGCGUAGAGAUCUGGAGGAAUACCGGUGGCGAAGGCGGCCCCCUGGACGAAGACUGACGCUCAGGUGCGAAAGCGUGGGGAGCAAACAGGAUUAGAUACCCUGGUAGUCCACGCCGUAAACGAUGUCGACUUGGAGGUUGUGCCCUUGAGGCGUGGCUUCCGGAGCUAACGCGUUAAGUCGACCGCCUGGGGAGUACGGCCGCAAGGUUAAAACUCAAAUGAAUUGACGGGGCCCGCACAAGCGGUGGAGCAUGUGGUUUAAUUCGAUGCAACGCGAAGAACCUUACCUGGUCUUGACAUCCACGGAAGUUUUCAGAGAUGGAUUGGUGCCUUCGGGAACUGUGAGACAGGUGCUGCAUGGCUGUCGUCAGCUCGUGUUGUGAAAUGUUGGGUUAAGUCCCGCAACGAGCGCAACCCUUAUCCUUUGUUGCCAGCGGUCCGGCCGGGAACUCAAAGGAGACUGCCAGUGAUAAACUGGAGGAAGGUGGGGAUGACGUCAAGUCAUCAUGGCCCUUACGACCAGGGCUACACACGUGCUACAAUGGCGCAUACAAAGAGAAGCGACCUCGCGAGAGCAAGCGGACCUCAUAAAGUGCGUCGCAGUCUCAGGGAGUCUGCAACUCGACUCCAUGAAGUCGGAAUCGCUAGUAAUCGUGGAUCAGAAUGCCACGGUGAAUACGUUCCCGGGCCUUGUACACACCGCCCGUCACACCAUGGGAGUGGGUUGCAAAAGAAGUAGGUAGCUUAACCUUCGGGAGGGCGCUUACCACUUUGUGAUUCAUGACUGGGGUGAAGUCGUAACAAGGUAACCGUAGGGGAACCUGCGGUUGGAUCACCU